rnacentral:lncRNA from 1 species
UCUUCCGAGGGCUCACCCCAUAAUUUGUGUCCCUGUUCCAAGGCUUAACCCAUUCCCUGUUAUGUGAUUGACGCUCCAAAUGACAUUAAACACCUUGUGAGAGAGUGAAAAAAGAGAGAAUAUAAAUAUUAUGAAUGGUGAAAAUGUUGUGAUACAAAGAGAAAUAAAUAACAGGUGUUAACAAUGUGUCAAUAAACUUGGAUGAUGUUUAAAAAUCAUUACUCUUAUUUUAAAAUAUCUAUUUUUUUUUGCUCAUACGAUGUCAUGAUGAAAUUUUAUGCACCCAUGAGUUUACAAUAAAAAUAUGUCACAUAGUAAGAGAAUCACAUGCACAUCACCAUACAUGCUUCAUGACUUAAAUACCAAUUAUAAUUAUAAAGUUCAUAUAUUAUAUUAGGCUCGUGGAACUCACAUGCUAAUAUAUUAGUUCUAAAACAAAUGCUAGUCAAUAGCAUAAGGACAGUGGUAAAAAAAGAAAAUAAAAAUAUUUUUAUUAACAGACAAAAACUUAUACUAAUCAUAAUCUUUUUUUUUACGUUCUCAUUUAAUUUAUAUAUUUUAAUUCUUUAAUUAAUAUUCUAAAGAUACUGCCGAAUCAAACAAAGAUUAAAGAGUGUGUUAGUAGGAAAAGGGUAACCUUUGGUUCCAACCAAGACACCAGAGAUGAGUUCUGUGAAUAAUCUUGGAACAUUGUUGGCUCGUCUUACCUCUAUGCUGAACACACGUUCACCUCUGAUUCCAUGUUUUCAC